rnacentral:rRNA from 1 species
CGGGUAGGCGGCUUGAAAAGUCGGGUGUGAAAGCCCUCAGCUCAACUGAGGAAGUGCGCCCGAAACUCUCGAGCUUGAGUGCCGGAGAGGAUGGCGGAAUGCCCCAAGUAGAGGUGAAAUUCGUAGAUAUGGGGCGGAACACCGGUGGCGAAGGCGGCCAUCUGGACGGUAACUGACGCUGAGCCGCGAAAGCGUGGGGAGCAAGCAGGAUUAGAUACCCUGGUAGUCCACGCCGUAAACGAUGAGAACUAGGUGUCGCGGGUGUUGACCCCUGCGGUGCCGUAGCUAACGCAUUAAGUUCUCCGCCUGGGAAGUACGGCCGCAAGGCUAAA